CAAACGUUUCGUUAGAAUUUGCUUUGGCCUUUGAAGGUGUUCCAAACACAGUACCUGAAUGAAGAAAAAAAGAGAAUUGUCACUACCUUUGACAAGGCAUCUGCUUUCAGCUCAGUGGCACUGCCAUCAAUCCCUGCAAUCGUAUAGCCUACAGAAGAACAAAAUCCAAAACACUUCAACUAACAUCAACUAAUCACCGCUUUUCUGUGGAUAACUGCAUUAUCUUGGCACGUUAUAUAGCCUAUUAUAAAGUGACAUCCAAGAAAGUGAUUCUGCACCCCCCCCCCCUUGUCUCCAUUGCGGCUCAACAACCCUCGUUAAAAGCAACCAGUAAAAAAAUGAAUGAAUUUUAAUUACCCGUGAAUG